GGAGUUUGGACCGUGUCUCAGUUCCAAUGUGGGGGACCUUCCUCUCAGAACCCCUAAGGAUCGUUGGCUCGGUGGGCCGUUACCCCGCCGACUACCUAAUCGUACGCAUCCCCAUCCAUCGGCAACCGAAGCCUUUCGUGAAAAUCAGAGGCCUUCUUCUCACAACAUCAGGUAUUAGGCUCCCUUUCGGGAGUUUAUCCCUGACCCAUGGGCAGGUUGGAUACGCGUUACUCACCCGUGCGCCGGUCGUCAUCUGGCUGAGCAAGCUCAGCCAAUGUUACCCCUCGACUUGCAUGUGUUAAGCCUGUAGCUAGCGUUCAUCCUGAACCAUGAUCAAACUCU
rnacentral:rRNA from 1 species